UUUUGAUGGCAAUGCAUCCUAUUUUAGCUUUAGAAUCCCAGGCUUACACAGUGCAAAGAAUGUCCUCCUCCAGAACCAGUGUCAGUGUUAUAAAGUGCAAAAUGUUGUGCUCAGAGUAGCUGCAGAAGUUGAAUAAGACAGAAUAUUGCAGAAAGAGAAAGAAAGAUCAAAUAAAACCAUUUUGUAGGACUUGUUGAUCAUCAGGUUGCCAGAAGAUGAGCAGAAAGAAGCAACUGAUUAACAGCUGGUUGCAUCUGGUCACGGCCAGGAACGCAUCGCAACAGAAUAAACAAUUCGGUUUUCAACAGCUGCAUUUGCAGUUACAGUCUACUGAAUCAAAUUUGUCUCCAGGGCAAACAUCUCUUCAGCUACACACCUGGCCUAGAAGAGACCUCCCACUUCAAACCAUACUUGUUGUGACAGUGCCUGGUAUGACAAUCCUGCAAAGCGCGAGAUUUGACAAAGCAAAUAGCAGUUCAGAAAACAUCUAAUCCCUCUAAGUCAGAGUGCUGUUUUAAAGUAAUUUUCCCUCAGUUACGUGGGAAAAAGGUAUUGCUUGGGUUUGUAGGCUUGGAAAAUCAGUCUGGUGUAAUUUUUUUUACCAAGGCUCAUAGAAUCAUAGAAUGGCCUGGGUUGAAAAGGACCUCAAGGAUCAUCGAGUUUCAACCCCCUGCUGAGUGCAGGGUCACCAACCACUAGGCCAGGCUGCCCAGAACCACAUCCAGCCUGGCCUUGAAUGCCUCCAGGGAGAGGGCAUCCACAACCUCCUUGGGCAACCUGUUCCAGUGCAUCACCACCCUCUGUGUGAAAAACUUCCUCCUAAUAUCUAACCUAAACCUCCCCUGUCUCAGUUUAAAACCAUUCCCCCUUGUUCUAUUGCUAUCCACUCUCAUGAACAAUCGAUCCCCAUCCUGUUUAUACACUCCCUUCAAGUAUUGGAAGGCCACAGUGAGGUCUCCCU
rnacentral:lncRNA from 1 species